CGGGAAGAUCCUGAUCAUCCCCGCGGCUCAGCACCCAGCGAGUCUCGGCGAAGAGGUACAGCAGCUCCUCUCCCUCCGGCGGCUGCAGCAGCAGAGCCAGGCACACUGCAAUCCCAUUAGUGAGCGGCGGCCACUAAUUCUUUGGACUGCCGCUAAUAUCAGGAGAUAUGAAACUGGUUAGUCCCCACAUGUUGCACAUAAAAAGAAUUCAUAAUGAGCAUCUGUGGGAUGUGGAAUGGAUCCCAUGAGUUAGCCGAAGACCUCAUAACGUAAGAGCUGAGAAGCCUAAGUGAAUUAUGACUGUCUCUCUCCUCACAAGUAGGAUUAAUUUUCUAUCCCACUUAUAUUCAUUAUCUAUCCUGUUUAUACCAUAGGGACAUCAAUUGUUUGAGUGUUAAAUAUAAAGACUUUACAGAAAAAGUAUAGGUUAGAUAGCUGAGGGAGGAAAGGAUGUUAUUCAAACUCCAGGUUUAAAGAACAGUUUUAAAUAAAGAUGUUCACAUUAUUUUUAAA